UGGGGAAUAUUGGACAAUGGGCGCAAGCCUGAUCCAGCCAUGCCGCGUGAGUGACGAAGGCCUUAGGGUUGUAAAGCUCUUUUGGCGGGGAAGAUAAUGACGGUACCCGCAGAAUAAGCUCCGGCUAACUUCGUGCCAGCAGCCGCGGUAAUACGAAGGGAGCUAGCGUUGUUCGGAAUCACUGGGCGUAAAGCGCACGUAGGUGGGCAGUUAAGUCAGGGGUGAAAGCCCGAGGCUCAACCUCGGAAUUGCCUCUGAUACUGGCUGUCUAGAGUUCGAGAGAGGUGAGUGGAAUUCCUAGUGUAGAGGUGAAAUUCGUAGAUAUUCGCAGGAACACCAGUGGCGAAGGCGACUUGCUGGGCUUGUAGUGACGCUGAGACGCGAAAGCGUGGGGAGCAAACAGGAUUAGAUACCCCCGUAGUCCCUGAGCGGGCUGGCAAGGCGCAU
rnacentral:rRNA from 1 species